rnacentral:sRNA from 1 species
UAGCAGACGACACUUAGCUUGGGGAGGGU